AUCUUGCUGGAGAUCCCUGCCUACUGAUGUCCUUCACAAGUGAUGGGUUGUCUUGCCUGAGGUCACAUAGAAGAACUACAUUCUGAGUAAGGGCAAAUGGUACCUAAAAAGUGGAAGGCUACUGAAACCUACUGAAAGUACAGGACUAUGCCUAGCACAAAAACAAAAAGGAAGCACAAUUUCAUACAGAGGACUGUAGAUGAGCCUGAAGGGUAUAGUGCUAGAAAUAACAUGAAAUCUAAUUAUAUAAAAUUCAGUGUCAUGAAUUUUGGAGCUAAUAAAAAGAGUUGCCAUGACAAGCUUGGAAUUCAUCACUUGGAAAUUACAGAGGAAGACCCAGUUAUCACACUUAGUUAUGGAGUGGCUAUGAAUUGAAAAUGUCCUACAAAGUACAAUGACUGCUCUGUAAAGUCUCAGAUUAAGUAUUACCAGUAAAGAGGGAAAAUGUUCAGUCCUUUUAAAAGGCACUGUGGAGUUGCUCUAGAAUACUGCAUUCGGAAAAGGCCUCACACGGGGGCUGAGAGGGACCACUAUGGUGAAGAGUAGAAUAAGAGAAAACAUUUUAUGAGAAGACAUGAAAAAACUUGGCUCGGGAAGACAGGAGAAAUGAAAGCUGUGAGAUAAAAUGAAAAAUGCAUGGAGGGUAGAGAAUGGGGAGAAGGCCAAGAUAGGGCAGCUGAUGUGCUUCUUUGGAGAGAACACUGAAUAGAAGAAUGUCAUGACCAUCUCUUCCUUCCCCAUCAAGCUCUCCCAUAAGCCAACCUGGCUUUCCAGGGCCCUAACCUGGAGAAUGAUCACUAGAUGCUACCUUGUUGCUUGUGGGAACUCCUUACAUCACCUCUGCCUAAGACCUUCCCGCUUGUAAGUGAUGCCAUUAGAGUUGGGCCAACAAGCCAGCCUCAUUGGCCCAGAGGCAACUUCUUGUGAUGAUUUGGUGCCACCAACAAGCUUCCUAAGCCUAUUUCUUCUCCAUGGGCCAUACUAUGUCCUCAUGAUACAUGAUCACCUCUCAAAUGCUGCCAAAAUAACAUUAAGUGAUGGGCUUGAAUCCCCAAGAAAUGAAUGUCCCUUUCUUCACCUUCAUCAUAAUGUAGCUUUCAAAUGUGAGGAAAAGCUCAGUGACUCUGACAGGGCAGAAAUCUUCCAUUCAGCAUAUAUUUAACCAUGUUAUGUGCUGGUUCUUGCUCAAUUUAAACUUAAGUCCAGAUUUUCUGGUAUUCCAUACCUCCAAUUUAGGUAUAGCUUUACAUUUCUCAUGGGUGGAAUAAAGAUGUUUCAUGAAUAAAACUGUCAAAGAAAACAAGGUUUAUUAGCAGC
rnacentral:lncRNA from 1 species